rnacentral:rRNA from 1 species
AGAACGAACGCUGGCGGCGUGGAUAAGACAUGCAAGUCGCACGGGAUAUUUCUGGUAGCAAUAUUAGAAAUGUCCAGUGGCGCAAGGGUGCGUAACACGUGGGCAAUCUGCCGAGAAGUGGGGGAUAGCUCGCCGAAAGGCGAAUUAAUACCUCAUGUGGCCAGGGAAGACAUCUUCCCGACGCCAAAGCCGGGGCAACCUGGCGCUUCUUGAUGAGCCCGCGGCCUAUCAGCUAGUUGGUGAGGUAACGGCUCACCAAGGCUAUGACGGGUAGCUGGUCUGAGAGGACGACCAGCCACACUGGAACUGAGACACGGUCCAGACACCUACGGGUGCAGCAGUCGAGUAAUUUUUUCUACAAUGGGCGCAAGCCUGAAGGAGCGACGCCGCGUGGAGGAUGAAGUCUCGGAUUGUAAACUCUGUCAUUAAGGAACAACGGCCCGACGGUUAACGUCGCCGUCCGG